AUUGUGAGUAGCAUGGUGGACUCACACACCAUUCUGCCUGGGAAGCGCGUCACCCCCCUGUCCAGUGCACCCACACCGUGUGCACUGCGGGGCCCCUGGGUCACUGAGCAGCCAUCUGAGCUAGUAGACAGACUGUCACAGUGUCACCAUGUUUGUGUUCAAGUAAUCCUUAUUUUCCUUAAUAAUGGCCCCCAAGUCACAUAACUUCUAAUAUGUAUAUUGUUAUAAUUGUUCUGUUUUAUUAUUAGUUGUUCAUCUCUUAUUGUGCCUAAUUUAUAAAUUCAACUUUACCAUACGCCUACGCAGGAAAACCACAGUAUACACAGGGAUCGGUAAUGUCUGCGGUUUCAGGCAUCCACAGGGCAUCCUGGAAUGUGUGCCCCGCAGAUAAGCAGGGAUACUGUGUUCCUCUCAUCACAGGGAGCUCAGCACUGAGGGCGGAUCUUCUGAUGUGCCGUGGGAGGGCUGAGAAAUGUCAGCAGCCAGGUGAAAAUCCAGGUUCGAGACAGCAGUGUGCUUUCAGAGCUAUACCACCGUAUCUCCACGCAGCACGAGUUAAGCAUGGCUGCAGAAGGACCAGGAGCCAAGAGCCACUCCCUCCUUCUGGGUCUCAGCAGUUUUAACAACAGUUGGAGCAUCUGUUCUGUGCUGGGCAUCCGGAUGGUCUGAGAGCAUGGGAGGGAUGAGUUGCUCUCCAAGCGCCAGAUACAGCACGGAGACCUGGAGAAAUGGGUCUGUGUCCCAGUUCCAGGAAUCACGCUAGGCAAGUCCCGCAGGUUAGCCCACUUAAUCCUUUCAGCCACCCUCCUGGGCUUCAGGUAUUAGCUCCUCUUGCAGGGGAGGAGACAGGCUCAGAGAGGAUGGAGACUUAGCCAGGGUUUCUGGCUCAGAAGCAGCAGUCAGGAUUCAAAGCCAUGUUGUUUAUUACUAGAGCUCGGGUUCAUGUCCCGGCCCUGCACCGAUAUCAUGGCAGUUCCCUGCUGGUUUUGUAGUGCUGGGGCCAGGGCAGCAGCCUGGGCGGACGGCCCAGGAUCCCAGGACGCUGGGCUGCAGUUAAGGCCUUAUCCCUGCUUUCUUCCAGAUCUGGGGCCUUCCUUACUGUUUCUGGGCCUCAGCUGUCGCAAAGACAAGGAGCUGGCACCCUGCACCUGGUGUAGAUGCUGCACCAAGCCCACCACUGGGCACCAAGGCAUGUUGGGUGCUUCCCGCGUGUGUGUGAGGGAGUAGGCUGCAAGGUAAAAACCCAGCACAGGUAGGAGUCAGUAUUGGGGUGUCUGGAGCCAGUCCUGCUCCAAAGACCAGCAGCAGGGCCUAUCCUGGGGAUCUCUAUCAGUUAGGUUACUUGGGUUGCAAGAGACAUAGUACCAAAUAGAGAAAUUGUUGGAAAUCGUUGGCUCAUACUAGCUUUGUAUAUGGCUUGAUCUAGGUAUCAAAUCAUGUCAGUCAGGCCCAGUCUUGCUGCUAUAUUUCUUGGCUUUGCCGCCUCUACUGGUGCCAUUCUCAGGAAGGCUUUCCCUUCCUGGUGUAAAACCAGCAGGAAAGUGAGUGUCACUUGCUAGUGACCCACACACAAGGCAUGGGAUUCACUCAUUGAACCAACUCUGAUCAUACACCUACAUCAGAACCCAACAUCGUGGCCCAGAGUCUUCCAUGUGCUGUGGGUAGCCCCCCCACCCCCGCCGCCGAAACACACCUGAGAGGUGAAGGGAGGGGAGUUCCUGGAAAGGAAAUCAGGGAGCUGUUGCCAAAAAAAGGGCAGACAGAUCCAACUGACACAGGUGCACGAGGGCCAAAGAGGAGACGUCCCAGCCUCUUGUCCUCUGGGCUGAUGGCAGAAACAGUUUCACACCUAGAGCUGUGGGAAUCUUGAACCAAGAGAGUAUGCAUGGCUGGGAAUCAAGGUCAGAAGUCAGCCAGGACACCAGAUAGAGAGGGGACAGAAGAGCAAUGGCAGAGUGGUCAGGGCCAGGGGUCACAGGUUAGGGUGAUAGGCACAGUUGCCUAUGACAGCUUCUGGGAAUGAAAUAUGGCAAGUCAGCCACAAUCCAGGGCCCAGGAGUGGAAAAAGAGCCUAGAACCUAGGUCACUUAUUCAGCAAUCACUAGAACCUACUCUGAACCAUGCCUGUGAAAACAGGGGUGACAGUGACAUGGUCCCUGACUUAAGGGAGCCCACAGACCCACCGUGGUGGUUUAACUUAAUCCUGGCAGAGGGAAUUUAUCUGAUGGUUUUGAAAGGCCCAGAUCUAUGCUGAGUGAUCAUGCCAUGGGUGGGCAUCUCAAAGCCCCCUUUUUGUUAUAAACUCCACCCCCAGUUUGGUCCUUGGGGUAACUCCCCACCGGCUUGCCCGGAAGGUGCCCAGCACCUCAUCACUGCCACCUUGCUGGAGAUCAGUGCAGGGUAAAUGCAAUGUUUAAGUGACACCCUCACUCCUACCAGCUUCGAGGACUAGGCAGAGAGCUCAUGUUCCUAGGAUGGUGGGAGCAGCCCUCUUCAGGCCGUGCCUCUGAUACCUGCUGAAGGUUCUGAGCCUGAGGGACCAAACACAGGUGCAGUUCUAGCCUGUUCUAGGAUGGGGAGGCAGCUGGCUUCUUGUUAAAGCCCCAGAAUUCCCUGUACCUGGCCCCCACAAUCCCCACUGCUUUCUCCACUGGUUGCAGAAUGCUUGCCUUUUAAAUCACUCCUUCGGCCCAAGGUGUAGUUUCCAGAAAGGCCCCACUAAAAUGCACAGAGGAACAGAAAUGGAGCUGUCCAGCUGGAGCCUGGCAGAGGGGUGGAGUGUGGAGUCCAGCAGAGCUGGAGGUGAGCUGGGCUUUGAGCUGGCAGCUGGGCUUGGCCCUCCUUCCCUUAGGCAGGGUGCCUCCAGGAUCUGACCUGCUCCCCUGCACUCCGCUCUGUGGGGAGCUCAGCUUCACCUGUGCUUUCUAAGCACCGCCUUCGUUCUGGCAACUUCCAGAAUCUGCUCUUCACCCAUCCUGUUUCAUGACCUCCCGUCUUUCCAGUGUCUUCUUCUGUCCUUGGUCUUCCCCAAACCUGCCCCAGUCCCACCAAGUGCAUCGAUGAGAUUCCUCCUGGGUCACGUGUCUCUCUCCUCCCCUGGUCUGUGAGGCACAGGGGACAUCAAAAAACACCAGCAAGAACUGAGAUAGGCGGGCCCUUCAGCCCUCCAGAAUGUGGGUCCCUCUCCAGGAUUCCCUCCCCUGGUCAUGGACCCACCUGAUGGUCAGGAGAACUUAGCCAGCCUUCAGGGUCUUGCCAAACCCCACCCCCCCACCCCCUUGCCCACAGCUGGGUCCUCUGGGCUGGAGGUGCCUGCCAUCCUCCACUUCUGGGCAGUUCUUCUCAUCUUGCAAGACUGCUAAGUGCCCCACUGUGGGCAAGGUCCCUUCCUCUUCUCCAGUCCCUAACACAAUGUCACUGCCCUUCCUGGGCUCCUGCUCCAGGCCAGUCGCGCGCUGAGCGUGGACAGAACCUGGACACCAAUUGGCUCCUGGUGUCUCCACAGCCAGGAACGUCCUUGCUCUUGUGUUCCACCUGACAAGCCCCUCGACCUCCCAGGGCCCGCCUCAAGUUUCUGUCCCCCCACAAGCCCUCCCUGCUCCAGACCAGCGCUGUCCCUGUGCCUGACCCACCGUCACUGACAGGGAGAGUGUCAGCCUGUCACCUCAGCACCUUCAUAGGGCCCGGCACAGUUGAGUUGGCCAUUGAGAAUCUGGGGACAACUGAGUGAUGAGGGGGUGAACGCACAAAAGGGUGAAUUGUGGGACGGGGUGAGGGCAGCUCUGCACACUUCUUGUGCCGGGAGCAGCCAUGAGGUCACAGAGCAGGAGAGACCCACAGAGGACAGCUGUGCUCUGCAGGGCUGCGCUCGUUUUAGAACCUGUGUCUGCGGCGCUGUGCGUGAGUGACAGGCCUCCUGUGUCCCUGAGCCCAUCUGCAUUCAGCAGUGUGACUCGGGGUCUCUUUGCCGGAGGACUGACCGGGCCCUAAAAACAGCCUUCCUUUUAAGGUCUGUGCUGCAGCGGCUCGGAACCCAGCUCCCUGCCAGGGAGCUAGUGAGCCCCGCAGGACAGGAGCAGGAAAUCUGAUUCAACGAGACCAGAAGAGGCAUUUUCCCAGAUUAGAAUUCUCUGUGCCAAAGGUGGCGAGUUUAUCACAGUAGAGAAGGGGAAAUAAAGCAAAGUAUUGAACAUAAAUGAUAUCCCGCAGGCAAGGUCCUCUGGGAGAGUCAGGUUGGUGUCGGUGGCUAUGCAGGAAGUCCUGAGCCGUGGCCACAGAACUGCUGCGCCAGGAGCUGUCUGUCACAGUGUGCCCCGCCAAUCCCUGAGCCCUUCUGUGCGUUAGGUAAAUUGCUAACCUGGCCAUGCCCAGGAGAAGGGAUGGCAAGGACCGAGAGAUGACAGGAUAAGGACAGGUGAGAUGGAUUGGGUUGGUUUCCUAUAUGUGGACCUACUGUGUGUUAGCCAGGCCCCUCCAUAAGUAUUAUCUCACUUAAUCUUCUCCACAACCCUGUACAAUCAAUGCAGUUAGUAUAUUCCAGAAAGCUAAUGCUCAGAGAGGUUAAGCAACAUGCUCAGGGUCACACAGUAAGUGGCAGAGCAAGAAUUUCAAACCAUGUCUGUCUGAUGCCAGAGCCUGGGCUCUCCCCUCACUCCACCUCUCUCAUCAAGCCCUGUUCAUCAGCUCUACCUGGUUCCUGAGGCAUCUGGUUGGGGCUGCCAGUGUGCGGGGGCCUGCUUCGAAUCCAGCAGUGUGGCUUAGGAAGGCUGUGGAGGCCAAGGUCACUUUGUUUUGCUUCUGCCUCACCUCUGGCUAAGGCUCGUGGUUUCUGCCUGGAUUUGGGACUUUGCUCUCUCCCCAGAAUAAACCUAGCAGAGCCUGGAAUUUCUUAAUACAGGACGGGGACCGGGGGCGACAGCAACAUCCAUGCUGCCCUUCUGAAUGCCUGCUGGGUGCUGGGCAGUAGGGUUUGCAUUCUCUCACAUUAUCUUCCCCAGACUGAUGCAGCUGGGACUCUGACUGCCCCGCUUCUCUGUAGAGUGCAGGGCCUUCCCCUAAACCCUCCUUCCCGCUGGUAAGAUGGAUUCAGAUUCAAAGCCCUAGCUGCUUCUACCUGACCCCCAGCUCCCCUUCCCUGGGAGAGCUGGGCGGUGACAGCAGCCCCUGGCAGCGAGGGCUGCCUGCCAGCCUCCUGAGGCUUGAUCUGAGAUUGCGCCGAGCGUGGCCCUAACCCAGGUCAUUGUUUUCCCCGGGUAGUUUCACUGUCAGCCUGCUUAGUGCCAUGUCUUCUGGAACACUGUAUCCCAUUCUGUUUAUACUGUAAAGAAUUUUUCAAUGUAAUCAAAGUCCGAAAAGAGAAUAUAUGUAAAAGAGACCCUAAGGGAUUGUUGAUUAUAUCCCACUUAAAAUGCAGAGUGUGAUGGGGAUUCACAUUGCCUGCGAGCACUUUAAACCAAGUUUCUAUGAUGCUGCUGCCCAUCAGCCACAUGACUCCUUGGUGACAG